GUUUAGAUGUGGCAUACCAUAUUUACAGGAAGGGUGACUAUCACAGGUACCUUGCUGAGUUCAAGACAAGAGUUGAGCAUAAGGAGGCUACUGAGAAUACCCUGUUGGCUUACAAGUCUGCUCGGGACAUUGCUCUUGCUGAAUUGGCCCCUACUCAUUCCAUUAGGCUUGGGCUUGCUCUAAACUUCUCUGUGUUCUAUUAUGAGAUUUUGAAUUCACCUGACCGUGCCUGCAAUCUUACAAAACAGACCAUGCACAAAUCUAUCUACUGAGGAGGAGAGUGGUGACGAGAUUAAGGAAGCUGAAGGAAAGCGUGAAUCAAGCGAACAACAGUGAUAAAGAUGGAGAAUUGUGCUCUGUAUUUUUAGCAUGAGAUUUUGAAUUAUCGACUUGAAAGAUAUAUUUAUUAUCGACUUGAAACUAUUUAGUUGGUUUAUUUUUGUAAACAUAUGAUGGUGGUAUUAUAUGUAAAAAUCAAAGUUUAUUGGAAGUUAU